ACUUCUUUACUCUAUCCGGACUCCCGCACUAUACUGUACCUGCAAGCCUGGGGGUAAAGGGAGAGGGGUGAGCUAAAAGCCCAGUGAGUAGAGCUAGUAAAACACGUUAACACUAUGCUCUAUGAAAUGCAUCAUAACACAAACAAUUCACAUAAGGGUUGGGUGAACUCGUCACCAAUUAGUCCAAAUUAACUCUGUGCCAGGCCUGUAGAAUGGGGUCCUGGUCUUUCCUGUCAGAACAUAUAUUACUUACCAUUUUCCCAGGGCCUCCUCUGGCUCCUGGUCUUCAAGUCCCAUAACCGUGCUAGACCAUAGGAUGGGAUCCUGGUCUUUCCUUACUCUGUGCCAGGCCUGUAGAUUGGGGCCUGGUCUUUCUUACUCUGUGCCAGGCCUGUAGACUAGGGCUUGGUCUUUCUUACUCUGUGCCAGGCCUGUAGCAUGGGGCCUGGUCUUCCUGUCAUGGACUAACUGGGUCAUCCGACAUUCACCCACAACAACAACAACUUAUGCAAUGCGGCAUAUUCGUGAAAACUAAUGCAAUCAUCCUAUUGCAUAAUCAUGAUGCAUGAAACAUGAUAAAUCAUUUAAUUUAACAGAUUAAGUUUUAGUUCCACUCACCUCUGGCUGACUCUGACAAUACCGAAGCAGCUGAACUUACUGCUGGGGUCCUCGGUUCCUCGGGUCCGAACCUACACAGGUGGACUCAAAUGAGGGACCAAACAUACGUAAUUACAACUCUAAUAUACUCCCCAAAAACCCCCUAAAACAUCCUGAAAAU
rnacentral:lncRNA from 1 species